CCUACGGGUGGCUGCAGUGGGGGAUAUUGCACAAUGGGGGGAACCCUGAUGCAGCGACGCCGCGUGGGUGAAGGAGCGUUUCGGCGCGUAAAGCCCUAUCGGCAGGGAAGAAGAUGACGGUACCUGACUAAGAAGCCCCGGCUAACUACGUGCCAGCAGCCGCGGUAAUACGUAGGGGGCAAGCGUUAUCCGGAUUUACUGGGUGUAAAGGGAGCGUAGACGGCAGGGCAAGUCUGGAGUGAAAGCCCGGGGCCCAACCCCGGGACUGCUUUGGAAACUGCCAUGCUAGAGUGCUGGAGAGGUAAGCGGAAUUCCUAGUGUAGCGGUGAAAUGCGUAGAUAUUAGGAGGAACACCAGUGGCGAAGGCGGCUUACUGGACAGUAACUGACGUUGAGGCUCGAAAGCGUGGGGAGCAAACAGGAUUAGAUACCCCUGUAGUC
rnacentral:rRNA from 1 species